AGCUGGUGGAAUAGAUCUCGGCAUGAGCAUUGAUUAACUGCCAGAUCUAACUCUUCCGGCUGG
rnacentral:pre_miRNA from 1 species